ACUCCUGCGGGAGGCAGCAGUGGGGAAUAUUGCACAAUGGGCGCAAGCCUGAUGCAGCCAUGCCGCGUGUAUGAAGAAGGCCUUCGGGUUGUAAAGUACUUUCAGCGGGGAGGAAGGCAAUACGGUUAAUAACCGUGUUGAUUGACGUUACCCGCAGAAGAAGCACCGGCUAACUCCGUGCCAGCAGCCGCGGUAAUACGGAGGGUGCAAGCGUUAAUCGGAAUUACUGGGCGUAAAGCGCACGCAGGCGGUCUGUCAAGUCGGAUGUGGAAUCCCCGGGCUCAACCUGGGAACUGCAUUCGAAACUGGCAGGCUUGAGUCUUGUAGAGGGGGGUAGAAUUCCAGGUGUAGCGGUGAAAUGCGUAGAGAUCUGGAGGAAUACCGGUGGCGAAGGCGGCCCCCUGGACAAAGACUGACGCUCAGGUGCGAAAGCGUGGGGAGCAAACAGGAUUAGAAACCCUAGUAGUCCCA
rnacentral:rRNA from 1 species